GGGGAAUAUUGGGCAAUGGACGCAAGUCUGACCCAGCAACGCCGCGUGAAGGAAGAAGGCUUUCGGGUUUUAAACUUCUUUUAGGGGGGAAGAGUAGAAGACGGUACCCCUUGAUUAACCCACGCCAAACUACGUGCCAGCAGCCGCGGUAAUACGUAGGUGGCAAGCGUUGUCCGGAUUUACUGGGUGUAAAGGGCGUGUAGCCGGGAAGGCAAGUCAGAUGUGAAAUCUGGAGGCUCAACCUCCAAACUGCAUUUGAAACUGCUUUUCUUGAGUGAAGUAGAGGUUGGCGGAAUUCCUAGUGUAGCGGUGAAAUGCGUAGAUAUUAGGAGGAACACCAGUGGCGAAGGCGGCCAACUGGGCUUUUACUGACGCUGAGGCUCGAAAGCGUGGGGAGCAAACA
rnacentral:rRNA from 1 species